AUGCCCUCUAUGUUCCCUCUCCCUGGCCACCUUGCCCCAUGCACACCCCAUAUGCCUAUGUUCACCUCGGCUGCUCCAGACAUCGGCACGUACGUCUGCGGCAUCGGUGGAUCUAGCUAUUAUGUUGUGCUCGCUCCUCAUGUUCGAUGCGGGAGGUGGUGGCAUCGGAUCUUGCCCUCCUCGCCUGUUGCUACUCACGGCCGGCGGCCUGCUUCAUGUUUCAGGUACCCUUUGAUUGUGGAUGAAGUGUUGAACAAGGAGGCCUGCGAAUGCCCCAAAUGCAGGAAGGAGUGCAACUGCGGCGUGUGCCAAACUAGAAAGGGGAGGCCCCGACAGGGAGAAUUGUUUGUGCUACCAAGAGGAUGA
rnacentral:rRNA from 1 species